rnacentral:rRNA from 1 species
AGGUUCGGAAUAACAGCGAGAAAUUGCUGCUAAUACCGGAUGAUAUCGCGAGAUCAAAGAUUUAUCGCCUGAGGAUGAGCCCGCGUAGGAUUAGCUAGUUGGUGUGGUAAAGGCGCACCAAGGCGACUGAUCCUUAGCUGGUCUGAGAGGAUGAUCAGCCACACUGGGACUGAGACACGGCCCAGACUCCUACG